rnacentral:rRNA from 1 species
GAUGAACGCUGGCGGCGUGCCUAACACAUGCAAGUCGAGCGGAGAUGUAGCAAUACAUCUUAGCGGCGGACGGGUGAGUAACGCGUGGGUAACCUGCCCUAUACAGGGGGAUAACACCGAGAAAUUGGUGCUAACACCGCAUAAGCGCACAGUGCUGCAUGGUACAGUGUGAAAAAAUUUAUUGGUAUAGGAUGGACCCGCGUCUGAUUAGCUAGUUGGUGAGGUAACGGCUCACCAAGGCGACGAUCAGUAGCCGACCUGAGAGGGUGAUCGGCCACAUUGGGACUGAGACACGGCCCAUACUCCUACGGGAGGCAGCAGUAGGGAAUCUUCCACAAUGGGCGCAAGCCUGAUGGAGCAACACCGCGUGAGUGAAGAAGGGUUUCGGCUCGUAAAGCUCUGUCCUCAAGGAAGAUAAUGACGGUACUUGAGGAGGAAGCCCCGGCUAACUACGUGCCAGCCGCCGCAGUAA